rnacentral:rRNA from 1 species
CCUACGGGAGGCAGCAGUGAGGAAUAUUGGUCAAUGGCCGCAGGGCUGAACCAGCCAAGUCGCGUGAGGGAUGACGGUCCUACGGAUUGUAAACCUCUUUUGUCAGGGAGCAAAGGGCGCCACGUGUGGCGUGUUGGGAGUACCUGAAGAAAAAGCAUCGGCUAACUCCGUGCCGGCAGCCGCGGUAAUACGGAGGAUGCGAGCGUUAGCCGGAUUUAUUGGGUUUAAAGGGUGCGCAGGCGGAACGGUAAGUCAGCGGUAAAAUUUCGGGGCUCAACCCCGUCGUGCCGUUGAAACUGGCGCUCUGGAGUGGGAGAGAAGUAUGCGGAAUGCGUGGUGUAGCGGUGAAAUGCAUAGAUAUCACGCAGAACUCCGAUUGCGAAGGCAGCAUACCGGCGCCCCACUGACGCUGAUGCACGAAAGCGUGGGUAUCGAACAGGAUUAGAUACCCGAGUAGUC